GGCACUAGUCGGCACAGAGUGGGCACUAGGCACUGGGCAUCGCUUGGAGACAGACGUUUAAUUGGAGUGUCAGUUAAGAAGGCUUUCGGGCGAUCACGGGACAGCGCGCGGCGUCCGACUGUGAAAAACCAGAUAUAUAAGAAAUAUGGAGACAGUGAGCGAGCGGCGAAAGCGAUAUGGCAAGCAGAGCCUCAUGUUUUUGGCCACGAGCUUCGGCUACAUUUCCGUCGGAAUGUCUCUCACGUGGCCGAACGUUUUUGCCUCUGACGUCAUAGUCAACAACAGCACGUUCUUCGGGACGGAAAUCGCGUGUUCGGAUUGGCAGAUGGAUAUGGUAGGUAAGUCAUAGGUAUUUUUC